rnacentral:rRNA from 1 species
AUUGAACGCUGGCGGCAUGCUUUACACAUGCAAGUCGAACGGUAACAGGGAGCUUGCUCCGCUGACGAGUGGCGAACGGGUGAGUAAUGCGUCGGAACGUGCCGAGUAGUGGGGGAUAACGCAUCGAAAGGUGUGCUAAUACCGCAUACGUACUGAGGUAGAAAGUGGGGGACCUUCGGGCCUCACGCUAUUCGAGCGGCCGACGUCUGAUUAGCUAGUUGGUGAGGUAAAGGCUCACCAAGGCGACGAUCAGUAGCGGGUCUGAGAGGAUGAUCCGCCACCCUGGGACUGGGAAACGGCCCAGACUCCUACGGGAGGCAGCGGUGGGGAAUUUUGGACAAUGGGCGCAAGCCUGAUCCAGCCAUGCCGCGUGUCUGAAGAAGGCCUUCGGGUUGUAAAGGACUUUUGUCCGGGAGCAAAUGCUGGUGGCUAACAUCCACCGGAGCUGAGAGUACCGGAAGAAUAAGCACCGGCUAACUACGUGCCAGCAGCCGCCGUAACAC